rnacentral:rRNA from 1 species
AGAGUUCGAUCCUGGCUCAGGAUGAACGCUGGCGGCGCGCCUAACACAUGCAAGUCGAACGGCACCUAUCUUCGGAUAGAAGCGAGUGGCGAACGGCUGAGUAACACGUGGAGAACCUGCCCCCUCCCCCGGGAUAGCCGCCCGAAAGGACGGGUAAUACCGGAUACCCCGGGGUGCCGCAUGGCACCCCGGCUAAAGCCCCGACGGGAGGGGAUGGCUCCGCGGCCCAUCAGGUAGACGGCGGGGUGACGGCCCACCGUGCCGACAACGGGUAGCCGGGUUGAGAGACCGACCGGCCAGAUUGGGACUGAGACACGGCCCAGACUCCUACGGGAGGCAGCAGUGGGGAAUCUUGCGCAAUGGGGGGAACCCUGACGCAGCGACGCCGCGUGCGGGACGGAGGCCUUCGGGUCGUAAACCGCUUUCAGCAGGGAAGAGUCAAGACUGUACCUGCAGAAGAAGCCCCGGCUAACUACGUGCCAGCAGCCGCGGUAAUACGUAGGGGGCGAGCGUUAUCCGGAUUCAUUGGGCGUAAAGCGCGCGUAGGCGGCCCGGCAGGCCGGGGGUCGAAGCGGGGGGCUCAACCCCCCGAAGCCCCCGGAACCUCCGCGGCUUGGGUCCGGUAGGGGAGGGUGGAACACCCGGUGUAGCGGUGGAAUGCGCAGAUAUCGGGUGGAACACCGGUGGCGAAGGCGGCCCUCUGGGCCGAGACCGACGCUGAGGCGCGAAAGCUGGGGGAGCGAACAGGAUUAGAUACCCUGGUAGUCCCAGCCGUAAACGAUGGACGCUAGGUGUGGGGGGACGAUCCCCCCGUGCCGCAGCCAACGCAUUAAGCGUCCCGCCUGGGGAGUACGGCCGCAAGGCUAAAACUCAAAGGAAUUGACGGGGGCCCGCACAAGCAGCGGAGCAUGUGGCUUAAUUCGAAGCAACGCGAAGAACCUUACCAGGGCUUGACAUAUGGGUGAAGCGGGGGAGACCCCGUGGCCGAGAGGAGCCCAUACAGGU